ACCUCAAUAUGCCCUGCUUCCUUUCUCUCUUCUUGCAGCUGAAGCUCAACAGUGCCAGUGGGAUACCCUUGAACACAAAGGUUUUUCUCACUGUAUACUACAGGGGCAAAAUGCAGACUGAGACCUACCUCAUGGACCACACAGGGGUGGCCUCUUUCACUUUGGACACUUCACCAUGGAGGGACAGUGACAAGGUUUCAUCAUAGGUGAAGCCCAACUUGUGAAGAAUGUUUUGCAUUUACACGGGGCUGUGCAAGCAUUAAUUGGUGAUCCCCACAGUGAGGCAGGCCAGUGUCAUUAGCCCCAUUAUACAGAGGACAAAACUGAGGGGCAGAGCAGUAAAGUGACAUGCAGGAGGCUAUAGAGGAAGUCCAUGGCAGAGCCAGCAUUAGCACUGAGUAAUUCCUGGCCCCUAGUUCCAUGUGCAGUGCCAUAGGCCAAGCUGUCUCUAAAUGGGAAGGCAUUGCUAAAACUAGGGUUUGGGGUAAUGUGUCAUGGGUGGAGGGGUGGGGGACACCACAUCUGCUCCUGCAAGUCAGUGAUUUGGGGGCAUCCAGGUGGUGACUCCUCCUGGGCUGGCAUGGAAGGGCUCUGUAGGUUUGGCCAGCUGGAGAGAUUAGAGGGAGCUGGACUAUCCUGCAUGGGAAGGGGAGACAGGGAGAAGUGUGUGAAAUGAUGAACAGGGUGGAGGAUGCCCACCGGUGGUAUGGUCUAUGCUAUCCUUGUAACUGCAGAACAAGGAGGCACUUAGGAUGUAAGAAGCAGAAGGUGUAGAACACAUCAGAGGCAAAGCUUUUCUUGGAACGUCUGGUCAGACUGUGGAACCUGCUGCUGCACAUAGACUCAAGGUAAAGAGCUCUGAAGCCAUCAGUGAAGGAGAAGAAAGGUGGCCCUGUGGGCAAAGUCCACACUGGAGAUCCCAAGGCACAGCUUUACAAAAGUGGUCCCAUCUUACAGCACGGCCUUCCGCUCACUGAGGCCCUUCUAUUCCUCCAGCAACAGCUCAGUGAAGAUCUACCCACACGGGGCAUGCUGCCUGCCUUGCAGGGGCAUGCAGCAGGCCCCAUUUGCUAUCACAUCCUGGCAAAGGAGCUGGAAGAGGGAGCUGCCCAGGUGCAGUUUUACCAUCUGGUGGGUGCACAGAAAGGGGCAGUGAGCAGAGGUGGGGGCACAUCCCUCCCCUGAGGUUGCCCAGAGACUACCUCAGCAAACCAUAGAGACGAGAUACCCUCAGCCCACAUCUGUGUAUGUUUCUUCUCAGGUUUUGGCCAGAGGGUCCCUUUUUCUCCACGGCCAGAGUACAGUUCCUCUUGAUGCCCAGCUAGGAAGACUCCAGUGUGCAUUUGCAUUCAGAUACCUGAGCUGUGUCGUGAACAACCUACUCCCUGAAUUGCCCCAACCUGGCAGGACAAGGAUUUUCUUCACCUAAAAAACACUCCUUUUGCCUAGGGAAAUGUUCCUAUAGCUGGUAGCUAGAAGGGCCAGCCAGUAUGUUCCAGGGAGGGAUAGCUCAGUGCUUUGAGUAUUGGCCUGCUAACCCAGGAGUUGUAAGCUCAAUCCUUGAGAAGGCCACUUAGGGAUCUGGGGCAAAAAUUGGUCCUGCUAAUGAAGGCAGGAGGCUGGACUUGAUGACCUUUCAAGGUCCCCUCCAGUUCUAGGAGAUUGGUAUAUCUCCAAUUAUUACCUAAUCUCUUCAGGAGCAGAGUUCAUCUACAGCGCCACAGAAGUUGAGUCAGUCAGGAGCACUGCAGAACCAAAGUAUGUUAGGAGCUCCCUGCUGAGAUCCUAAGCGCUGCUGGAGCAGUACUAAGGAGGGAAUUUUCUCUAAUUUUAGGAAGUUUGUGUGCAUCAGUUUCCCCUAUGUGCUGCAGUUACCUACUGGGUGAAAAGGGACUAUUUGUUCUCGAGGCAGGCUAAGACCAGGUGUAAAUGGUGCCUACGGUUCCAUAUCAAUGGAGCUCUUGAGAAGACAAUGGUGAAUCCAAUUGCCUAGACAUGGCCUAGCAAGCACCAUCAUAGAGUGAUAUAGAUUCCCCGUCUCUCUGCCAGGAGGCUGAGCUGCAUCUCCCAGCUCGGGAUCAAAGGACUGUGGGGUAUGAGGAGGAAGUUAAGUGUCAGCUGUGGGAAGCAGUCAGGAUGGAUUGUGCUGUAACUUUCUUUGCUCUGUGCUAACCAAGGACUUUCUAUGCUGUGAUCCAGUCCACUAAUAAACUUGUCUGUUUUACAACA